GCCAGCGGCCGGCUUGGCGGGGCGGAGGGUUCCCGCCCUGGUGGCAGUGGUGACCACCCACGAUCUCUCCCUUAGGUGAUGCCUCCCGUGGACACACGUCGAGCAGCCGUGCGUUGGGUUACCUCCCGAGAGUGGGAGGCGCUCCAGGCAACCAGCCGGUAGCCCUGGCAGGAGAGUCCUCCGGCCUGGACCCGCGCAGGUCCUGUCACCAGGCACACACUGGCACUCCAUUCCGCCAUCCUUCGGGGCGAUGCCUUUGGUGAAUCUGUCUCUAAAAUGCCCUUUCCCAUCCUAUUACCGAGCUACAACAGCGCACAGCCUGGAGAUCCUCACAGGGCCACCUCGAAAGCCACGCUUCUGUGCUCUGCUGAGAGCGUUAUCUGUAGCUGACACAGUUGGAAUGUCCUUUCAAUGCCAGUUCAUAAUAUUCUUUUUAAUUGUCAUCAAAAUGAUUACAUUAUUUUUGGUUAAUAUUAAAUAAUUACCUUCUUCCUUGGUG